UUCACCAUCAGUAGAAUCACCACGAUUCAACUGACAGAGUUCCCUGAGGACUUAACUGAAAUUGGGCUAACUACAAUUGGGAUCGGCCAACUGCAUACUAGGAUCAGAUCCUUCAACUAAGGAAAUGUGGGGGAAAAUCACUGCUAUGGUCAUUGUGAUUCUUGCAUUCGCUGCAAUUGGAGCUACACAAUCAAAUACUCUGGGAACAACAAGACUAACAACAAAUGGAGCAACACAAUCAA